rnacentral:rRNA from 1 species
CCCCCGCUGAAUUUAAGCAUAUCAAUGAGCGGAGGAAAAGACCCUCACAAGGAUUCCGCUAGUAUACGUGCGAGUGAAGCGGGAAGAGCUCAAAUUUAAAAUCUGGCGGUUCCGUGACCUGUCCUAGUUGUAAUCUAGAGAAGUCCUUUCCGUGCUGGACCGUGAUACAACUCUCUUGGAAUGGAGCGUCAUAGAGGGUGAGAAUCCCGUCUUUGACAUGCACUACCAGCGGUUCUGUGAAGCACUCUCGAAGAGUCGAGUUGUUUGGGAAUGCAGCUCACAAUGGGUGGUAAAUUCCAUCUAAAGCUAAAUAUGGGCGAGACACCGAUAGCGAACAAGUACCGUGAGGGAAAGAUGAAAAGAACUUUGAAAAGAGAGUUAAACAGUACGUGAGAUUGUUGAAAGGGAAACGUUUCAAGUCAGUCGCGUUGGCUGGUAAUCAACCUUUGCCAUCUUGCUGGGCUUACUUUCCAGUCGACGGGUCAGCAUCAAUUUUGACUGUCAUAUAAAGGGGUGGGGAAUGUGGCAUCUUCGGAUGUGUUAUAGCCCCUUGGCACAUGUGACGGUUGGGAUUGAGGAAAUUAGCAUCCCUCCACUCGUCGGGGCCUACAAGCCCACGUAACAUGCUCAGGAUGCUGGCAUAACCGCUUGAACCGACCCGUCUCGAAACACGG